rnacentral:misc_RNA from 1 species
GAAAUGCGAUAAGUAAUGUGAAUUGCAGAAUUCAGUGAAUCAUCGAAUCUUUGAACGCACAUUGCGCCCGCCAGUAUUCUGGCGGGCAUGCCUGUUCGAGCGUCAUUUCAACCAUCAAGCCCCCGGCUUGUGUUGGGGACCUGCGGCUGCCCGCAGGCCCUGAAAAACAGUGGCGGGCUCGCUGUCACACCGAGCGUAGUAGCAUACAUUCUCGCUCAGGGCGUGCUGCGGGUUCCGGCCGUUAAACGACCUUCAUAACCCAAGGUUGACCUCGGAUCAGGUAGGAAGUCCCGCUGAACUUAAGC